GAGGGUAUAGCUCAGUGGUAGAGCAUGUACUUAGCAUGCAUGAGGUCAUUGGUUCAAUCCCCAGUACCUCUG
rnacentral:tRNA from 1 species